AUUGAACGCUGGCGGCAUGCCUUACACAUGCAAGUCGAACGGCAGCACGGGUGCUUGCACCUGGUGGCGAGUGGCGAACGGGUGAGUAAUACAUCGGAACGUACCUUAUCGUGGGGGAUAACGCAGCGAAAGCUGUGCUAAUACCGCAUACGCCCUGAGGGGGAAAGCGGGGGGUCGAAAGACCUCGCGCGAUUAGAGCGGCCGAUGCCUGAUUAGCUUGUUGGUGGGGUAAAAGCCCACCAAGGCGACGAUCAGUAGCUGGUCUGAGAGGACGAUCAGCCACACUGGGACUGAGACACGGCCCAGACUCCUACGGGAGGCAGCAGUGGGGAAUUUUGGACAAUGGGGGCAACCCUGAUCCAGCAAUGCCGCGUGAGUGAAGAAGGCCUUCGGGUUGUAAAGCUCUUUUGUCAGGGAAGAAACACCGGCUCUAACACAGUCCGGGAAUGACGGUACCUGAAGAAAAAGCACCGGCUAACUACGUGCCAGCAGCCGCAGUAA
rnacentral:rRNA from 1 species